AAAUUGAAGAGUUUGAUCAUGGCUCAGAUUGAACGCUGGCGGCAGGCCUAACACAUGCAAGUCGAACGGUAACAGGAAGCAGCUUGCUGCUUCGCUGACGAGUGGCGGACGGGUGAGUAAUGUCUGGGAAACUGCCUGAUGGAGGGGGAUAACUACUGGAAACGGUAGCUAAUACCGCAUAAUGUCGCAAGACCAAAGAGGGGGACCUUCGGGCCUCUUGCCAUCGGAUGUGCCCAGAUGGGAUUAGCUUGUUGGUGGGGUAACGGCUCACCAAGGCGACGAUCCCUAGCUGGUCUGAGAGGAUGACCAGCCACACUGGAACUGAGACACGGUCCAGACUCCUACGGGAGGCAGCAGUGGGGAAUAUUGCACAAUGGGCGCAAGCCUGAUGCAGCCAUGCCGCGUGUAUGAAGAAGGCCUUCGGGUUGUAAAGUACUUUCAGCGGGGAGGAAGGGAGUAAAGUUAAU
rnacentral:rRNA from 1 species